CAAACGAGGUGUAGACCACAGGUAUUGCCCUAGUAACGGCGAGUGAAGCGGCAACAGCUCAAAUUUGAAAUCUGGCGCAAGCCCGAGUUGUAAUUUGUAGAGGAUGCUUCUGGGUAGCGACCGAUCUAAGUUCCUUGGAACAGGACGUCAUAGAGGGUGAGAAUCCCGUAUGUGACCGGCCCGCACCCUUUACGUAGCUCCUUCGACGAGUCGAGUUGUUUGGGAAUGCAGCUCUAAAUGGGAGGUAAAUUUCUUCUAAAGCUAAAUACCGGCCAGAGACCGAUAGCGCACAAGUAGAGUGAUCGAAAGAUGAAAAGUACUUUGGAAAGAGAGUUAAAAAGCACGUGAAAUUGUUGAAAGGGAAGCGCCUGCAACCAGACUUCGCGGCAGUGUUCCGCCGGUCUUCUGACCGGUUCAUUCUCUGUCGCGAGGCCAUCAUCGUCUGGGCCCGCCGGAUAAGACCUGAGGAAUGUGGCUCCCCCUCGGGGGAGUGUUAUAGCCUCUGGUGAUGCGGCGUGGCUCGGGCGAGGUCCGCGCUUCGGCAAGGAUGAUGGCGUAAUGGUUGUCGGCGGCCCGUCUUGAAACACGGACCAAGGAGUCUAACAUCUAUGCGAGUGUUCGGGUGUCAAACCCCUACGCGUAAUGAAAGUGAACGGAGGUGGGAACCGCAAGGUGCACCAUCGACCGAUCCUGAUGUCCUCGGAUGGAUUUGAGUAAGAGCAUAGCUGUUGGGACCCGAAAGAUGGUGAACUAUGCCUGAAUAGGGUGAAGCCAGAGGAAACUCUGGUGGAGGCUCGCAGCGGUUCUGACGUGCAAAUCGAUCGUCAAAUUUGGGUAUAGGGGCGAAAGACUAAUCGAACCAUCUAGUAGCUGGUUCCUGCCGAAGUUUCCCUCAGAUAGCAGUAACGUUUUCAGUUUAUGAGGUAAAGCGAAUGAUUAGAGGCCUUGGGUUGAAACAACCUUAACCUAUUCUCAAACUUUAAAUAUGUAAGAAGUCCUUGUUACUAGUUGAACGUGACAUUUGAAUGUUACCGUUACUAGUGGGGCCAUUUUUGGUAGCCAGAACUGGCGAAA
rnacentral:rRNA from 1 species